UGGCGGACGGGUGAGUAAUGUCUGGGAAACUGCCCGAUGGAGGGGGAUAACUACUGGAAACGGUAGCUAAUACCGCAUAAUGUCUACGGACCAAAGCGGGGGACCUCCGGGCCCUGCGCCAUCAGAUGAACCCAUAUGGGAUUAGCUAGUAGGUAAGGUAACGGCUUACCUAGGCGACGAUCCCUAGCUGGUCUGAGAGGAUGAUCAGCCACACUGGGACUGAGACACGGCCCAG
rnacentral:rRNA from 1 species